rnacentral:lncRNA from 1 species
GGGAUGGUGGGCACUGCUGUGCACACGGCGUUGUGCUGCUGGGUGACUGCUUUGCAAAUGUGUUUUGCUCCGUCUGGAAUCCUGAGAAGUGUAGGAGACAGACGUGGUAAUGGGUAAAACGGAAAACUGCAGCCUAGGAUGGGAUUGUAUGGGGUCAGCUGCAAUAAUUACAUCCUCACGUCCCUUAAGAGGAUGCUAAUUCAAGAGCUGCCUGGCUAAAGGCAGUGAGAGUGGGGCCCUAUUGUUCUGUGAGUGAGGAGAAAGACAUUUAUUUUUUCCUUUACAGGAAAUUUUUGAGGGGAGGGGGAAGAGAAAGAAUGUUCUCUACACUUUCUUCAACAUCUUUCUUAUUUGUGGUUUUGUUUGCUGAAGCUGCCUUUGUUGAGGGGCAAAAAUAAAAAUCACUCCUUAUUUACAAAAAUUAGUUUUAAUAUUCACAAACAGAAUCCUUUUGCUAAAGGCCAGUUCUUAGGAAACAAAAUCGUUGUGACUCAAAAAAUAGCCUUUCAGUUUGCUGGAUGUUGCAGAAAAAAGAAAUCGAGCAGUUUUCAUUGUAGAUGAAAAGCUAUUUUUCUUUUGGAGAAAAUGUUCAGAUGAGGACAAUCCUAGCAGCUCUGAUUGCAGCCUGCGAAGCUGUGCGCUGAGCCACGUGGAGAUCGUUAGGAGAUCAGACACUCUGCUUGCAACUUAAUUAAGUGCGCGAAUACUUUAUUCAGACAAGUGCAUUGUCAGAACAGGCUUUGGUUGGUUAAGUGCUUGCUGGUGUCACGGUGCUCCGGGCGUUACAGAGAUGGAGAGAGAUGCAGCGAGCAGCAGGCAGGCUGUGCUGCGGUGCUGGGCUGCUCAGCCUGUGCUCAGUUGGUGAGGAGAGGGAAAGUCUCUGCCCCCGCAUCCAGCCUGCACAGUUAUAUAAGACUUGAACUAUAUCCCCCUUCUCCUCCGCGGCCGCUCACAACGCGCUGCGAGCAGAGCCAGAUGGAGAAAGGUUCCGUCAGGAAAGUUUAACUCAGCGGGGAAGCUGCAGCCAGUGGAGGACAGGAUUCUCUCGCUGAACUCUCCAAAAGACUUGGAAAUCUUACAGUUGUGUCAUAUGCUGGUUUGGGGAAUGCUAGCAGUCCGGAGGCAGCCGCCAGCCCUCUUUCACUUCAUUCUUUAUUUAUUUUUUUUUUUCGCUUCGAGCUGAGUUUAAUUUGGGUAGCAGGAUUCAGCAUUUUUAAGUUGGAAAAAACUUGGUGGAAGAAGAUAUUUUAGGAAAACCCUGUCAUGUGAACUAGCGGGAGCCGAUCAAACUGAGCUAUUAAAAGAAAGACAUUGUAUUUUUAAACGGUCCAGACUAGGGAAGCCAACCUGUGUGCCAUAACUGCUGAGCCGUGACUGCUCCCCCGAUUAUAGCUCAGCGUGGGAUGAGGUGAAGCUUUCCACUGGGGUCGCCCAUUCUCCGCUCGCUCUGGGAUACCCUUUGGCAGGGGCCCCCCAGGUUUUCCCCG